CCUACGGGAGGCAGCAGUGAGGAAUAUUGGUCAAUGGACGAGAGUCUGAACCAGCCAAGUAGCGUGAAGGAUGACUGCCCUAUGGGUUGUAAACUUCUUUUAUAUGGGAAUAAAAUGUUCCACGUGUGGGAUUUUGUAUGUACCAUAUGAAUAAGGAUCGGCUAACUCCGUGCCAGCAGCCGCGGUAAUACGGAGGAUCCGAGCGUUAUCCGGAUUUAUUGGGUUUAAAGGGAGCGUAGGUGGAUUGUUAAGUCAGUUGUGAAAGUUUGCGGCUCAACCGUAAAAUUGCAGUUGAAACUGGCAGUCUUGAGUACAGUAGAGGUGGGCGGAAUUCGAGGUGUAGCGGUGAAAUGCUUAGAUAUCACGAAGAACUCCGAUUGCGAAGGCAGUUCACUGGACUGCAACUGACACUGAGGCUCGAAAGUGUGGGUAUCAAACAGGAUUAGAUACCCCUGUAGUC
rnacentral:rRNA from 1 species